rnacentral:lncRNA from 10 species
CUUUGGGUUUAUGACUCAUGUCUCUGAAAAGGAUAAAAUGGUCAUACAUAAAUGAAAUCAAUACCUGUACCCCACCUCCACACACCCUUUUUCCUCUCUAACCUCUCCCCAACCCUGAAGACAUUAGAUAUUCAAUUCUUGUUAUUUCCAAGUUCCAAUCCCAGCUGCCCUAGACAACUUUCUGAUGCUGACUUGGAUCUGCCUGUAGGGAGUAUUGCUUUGUGGAAGGGACUUUGAGUUUUGUGGUCCCCAUACAGUCAAUUCCCAUGUUAGCCUAAGACAGCCAAUGGCAUUUGGUCUUCUGUGCCCAUCUUGCGUGCUUGGCUAAUGUGAGUUGUGUCUCAGAGACACAGCGACCCACCAGCCUUGACAUAAAUACAUUUUAUGCAGGCUCCAGGCCUGGCCUGACUGGGGCUGCUCCCCGAGGCAGUGAAGGGCUCCCCAAGAUCUCCUCACAGGCUUUUCGCUGUCCUGACAGCACUGCACUGCAGCCUGCAGCAGGAGUCGUGUUGCCACACAAGUUGUGAAGGUGCAUUCAGUGUCAUUCUAAUUGCCCAGCUGCAAUGUGGAGAGGCUGCAUUAAGGUAAAGACCCCGAAUUGCAUUAGGCUGCUGGGAAUGGGACUUGAUCUCUAGGAAAGUGGUUCUCAACCUCGAACAUGCGUCAGAGCCGUGGACACUGACGGCUGGGCUGCCCCAAGGUUCUGACUCAGUAAUUCUGGGCUGGGGCUUGAAAUUUUGCAUUUCCAACAAGUCCUGCCCUAACUGUUCUAGGGAUAAUCCAGGGUUGAUAUUGGAUAAUCCAGGGUUGAUAUUGCAUCAUCAAGGAAUUUGUUUCAUUGCAAGGCCAGUAAGUAUCACCAGUUUGUAAGCAGCUUACUAUUUCUGUAUCAUCUCGUAUUUCAGGCAUGAGAGCGGAGGCGCCUCUGCCUGGUGAGCUGAACAAAAGUGGAUCCACUUCUAUCUGGACAAAGGCCCACUGCCAGCUUCACCUUCAGAUUUUACACAUCCUCUUCCUCAACUUUAGAGUGACAACAAAUGUAGUUCACACAUAUGAACCAGUGGCCAUUGGAAAACCAGGAAGAGAGGCCUCAGGAGAAACUAACCCUGUUGAUCUUGGAUUUGGACUUGGACUUGAUCUCAGACUUCCAGGGUCCAGAACUGUGAAGAAAUAAAUGAUUGUUAAAGCCACCUCGUCUGUGACAAUCACCCCCCCCCCCCCCCGCAGCGAUUUGGUGAACUGGAACUGAACAUACACAACACCCCUUCUUCUUCCAACUCUCCUUCUCUGUGCAUUCUUUCACUCCCACCCGACUCCCACCCCCAAAUCUUCAUAGAAACAUCUGGAGAAUGUGCUCAAAUCUCAAACCCCGGGGCGGGACCCUGCACUACCAAGCGCGGCCACUGAGCGGCACUCACACCCGGCGGCGCGCGCUGGUUCUCCCGCUCCGGCCGCGGGACUGGUGCGCACCUGGGACGCGGCCAGAGAGGCUGAACCCCUAACGUUUUAUUCUGAUGAAUUUAGAUUGAAAGAUGGAAGCUAUGUACGUUAUUUUUCCUUUAAAUGGACCUUCAUGGUUCCACUAGGGCGACAUGUUGCUGCAAUGGCUAAUCAUUCAGCCUCCGAAGGAGACGUGCGGCGACUGAAACGCACGCCAGAUUUUGAAGACCGUAGGAAAAAAAAAAAAGCGAGCCAGUCAUUGAGACUUUUUAAAUUGAUUACAUGUGGAAAUGCUAAUGUUCCAGCGGGACUGGAUUAAAC